GAUGAACGCUGGCGGCGUGCUUAACACAUGCAAGUCGAACGGAAAGGCCCAAGCUUGCUUGGGUACUCGAGUGGCGAACGGGUGAGUAACACGUGGGUGAUCUGCCCUGCACUUUGGGAUAAGCCUGGGAAACUGGGUCUAAUACUGGAUAGGACCACUCCUUGGAUGGUGUGGUGGAAAGUUUUUUCGGUGUGGGAUGAGCUCGCGGCCUAUCAGCUUGUUGGUGGGGUAAUGGCCUACCAAGGCGUCGACGGGUAGCCGGCCUGAGAGGGUGUACGGCCACAUUGGGACUGAGAUACGGCCCAGACUCCUACGGGGGGCAGCAGUGGGGAAUAUUGCACAAUGGGGGCAAGCCUGAUGCAGCGGCGCCGCGUGGGGGAUGACGGCCUUCGGGUUGUAAGCUCCUUUCGCUAGGGACGAAGCGUUUUUGUGGCGGUACCUGGAGAAGAAGCACCGGCUAACUACGUG
rnacentral:rRNA from 1 species